ensembl:lncRNA
AUGUAAAUAUAUAUAUACAUAUAUACAUAGUUAUAUCUGUAUAUAUAUUGGGUAUGUUUUAAGAAUUUUUUCGCAUGAGCGCAGCUGUUGUGAUCAAAUGUCUGGGAGGUAGAAGCACUGAAUGAAAAUAAAAGCAUUUUUCAGCGCACACACCCACACUUUCCAUAUGUCUUCACAUGGGUUUAUUUCACUCUCAGUUGAACUUUGGCCUCUUAAUCACCAAAUAGUUUUGAAGCUUGCUUUUUUUUUUUUUUUUUUUCUUCUAACCCCUCUGAACUUUUGGCAAAGAAUUCUCUUUGCACUAGAAUAGCUUCAUCUACACCUUGUCCCCAUCCAUCCAUGUCUCCUACUUGAGGCCUAGCAUUGCAGCCGCUCCCCUUUGAGCUGAGCAGAACUAGGGUGGUGCAGUUUUGAGCCCAUCGGAUCUGUUCCUCCUGUCUCUGCUCUAGGCAUGGUGAUGAUUAACAUGUUCCCCUGGCAGCCUGCUCACAAGUCAAUUGACACAGGCACCCAUGCUCUCUUCUCCAACCCUUUAGUGCAGAGCACCACCAUCAGGUCAGCCUUCUAGUUUUUAAUUAGUCUGUUCUUCCUGCUGUGUUUUUAUUAACACAGGGAGCUCAUUUUAGUUGAGAUAAUUAAUGCAAUAUUCUAAUCUAGGAGGACAAGCCCAGAAUAUACUUUUCUGACUGCAGUAAUUUUUGAUGUAAAAUGAAUUUUUGAAGACGGUUAUAUGUUUGAAUCUACAAAUUCAUUUUCAAUACUAGAAAGAAAAUCUGGAGGGGCAAAAAACUCUUCACCUUUUAUUACUUGUGCCAGCUAGUUUCCUUGCCAGGUUAGGGAUUAAUUUUUUUCUCCACUUAUGCUCCUGAGAGGAUUUAUGCAGUAAGAGCUAUUCAGAUUGCUGGCCUACAUAGGGUGAAUGCUUCUAAAACCUGUGGAUUAGAAGGAAGAUCUUCCUGUUGUUUGUUUUUUUUUUUUUUCCUCCUUUAUCCAGCUCUCUGUGCUGUACUUUUUGCAUAGUGUCCUUGUGAUCAGUGUGUCCAGGUGAAUGCCCUGUUUGCCCAGUAUUAUAGUUUGGCUUGCUAAAUAGCUUGCUUAAUAUCUACCAGUAUUGAUUUUUGGCUUUGUUUUUUCCCCUCCUCCUCUUAUCCAUUUUCUGCUUUUUUGCAGAAGUUUAGUUGAUUGAACAAGUCAAACAGCAAAAUGCGGUGCAUGCUUUUAAGUCUUUUCUGGAAGCUGUGUCUAAAACGUACCCUUAGUGGAAAACCAUGCUAAUAGAACUGGGAGGACAGAUAGCUCUAUGUAUAAUGGAAGCAUUGAUGGUUACAGUACAUGAGCAGGGCAUGAAGAUUUCUGGAGUAACUGUAUCCUGCUGCAUUCAUGUCUAUAGCCAUUGUCCUAGUCGUACAGGAAUGCUGUCCACCUCGGUGAAAUUGGUCUCACUCAGAAAGUGGUUUAGUUCCUUCUACCUGGGCAAGAAGAAACAGUAUUACCAUGGUAUUAGGGCACUACUGCAUCAUUUGGUAGGUAGGUUAAAUUUUCUCCGGCAGUAGACAGCUUUGAACCCUCACUGAUACCUGGGUUUCAGCCUCAGCAUGGACAAACGCCCCCAGAAUAGGAAGCUUCAAGUGUUAGGUUAAGCUUUAGUAUGUCAGUGAUUCAGAUGGUGUAGAAAUUAUGUUUGUUUACUCUGUAGUGUUAUUUUCCUUUUUCUGUCAACAUCUCUUCUUCAUUUCCUAUGACCUAGUUCUCUUAAUAGGAGAAAGUUACACUUUUUAUUCUGCUCUUCUUGUAUACUGUCAUAUCCUGUCCUAUUUCAGGGUAGGACUUUUUUUUUAAUUAAGAUCAGAGCACCCACCUUUCGAACUUGCAGCACUGUUGCCCAUUUGUUCUCAAGUUCCUCUCUCUCUAGUUUCUUCUGAGCCUUGUUCUCUCCCUUUAAUCCAUAUGCUCCUUCCUUUCCUUCUGUGGCUUGCCCAUUCACCCUCCCUGAUUGUGUAACAGUGACAGCUUGCUGCCUCAAAACAGAGCAUUCAAAUGAAUUCGCUUAGCCAAUAACUUCUGUGAAGUUGCCUUUUCUAAUGGUGUUAUUACUCAGUGAUGCACAAAUGUGAUAUUGCCCCUACUGGUAGGCAAACGGGGGAUCUGUAUAAACAUGGUAAACUGCUGUUUUUCUUUAAAGGAGAGCCAAAGACUUGUGCUUUACACUUUUUUUUUUCCCUGGUGUAGCCAUUUUGAUUGUCAAAUCUUUGUAAGGGGUUUGUGAGUUGACUGUAUUAUCCUAAUAACAAUUUACAAAAGAUAGUGAUUGUCAAGCCUUAUCCAUGCAUUAAAUUGUGGAAAACCGUUCUGUUUAGUCAUAAAAUUUGCAAUGUACUGAGAUGUAUCUGGGGUAUUCUGACACGUUUUCAGUCUCUUAUGCAUUCUCUCAGCUGACGGAAUGGCUAAUUUAGAGAGGGAGAAGGAAUGUAGAAAUGUAAUCAAAGAAGCCUUGUCUUUAAGUGUUUAAAUUGAAUACUGAUUUAAAAUUUCUUCAAUUACAGUAAAAGAUAAAUCUGUGUUGCAAAUGUGACUGACUUUUAAGCCCAUUGGAACUGAAAAGACUUGUCAAAUUGUAGCAUUACAUUAAAUUAGAUGUGGAAGAAGCAAACUUGUAUGAUGAUAUUGUCUCUUGACAGCACAAAUUGAGUUAGGUGGGGCAAAUUUAUAUUAGUGCUAGGAGUGAGGCUUUUCAUUGAUAGUACAAGAAAGCCGCUUGCAUUUCCCUUUCUUGAUCUAACUUAAACUCUUGCAGACUAUUACUCUUCAGGUUUGGAGAGAAAUCUGUAAGUCAGAGAAGCAUAAAUCCUCAUGUCCAUUGUCAUUUCCAUUUAAAAAUCUGGACUAUAAUGAAGCUGACUUACAGGACAGUUAUCUGAAGAACCCUGAUAUAAAGUAUCUUUGAUUAACUAGCUAUGGUCCAAGAAAUUCACUGCUAGCGUUAGGAGGCUCAACAGCAGGAGUGCCAACUCAUCUUCUGUUCUAAAAUGGGGGGGGGGGAACCCAUUUAAACAGUGUGCAAGUUCUGUGCUUGUCUGUGUGCGUAUGAAGAAGUUUUUAUAGUACUAGACUAGGUAGAAGGAACACAGACCAAGGCUGGAGCAUGAUGUUAACCUCCUAUUCAAAUUUUGUCAUCAUUCACUUUCCAAAACACACACUUCUGUUCCCGCCUUCUAAUGUUGAUAGCACUGAUAUAAAAACACCCAAAAAAGUUAGAGUUAGCAAUUCAGUUUUUUGUAUCACAGUAAGUCAAUUCCCCUGGAUGAACGAAAAAAAAAAGGAAGCCAAAGUUCUUGAAUUGUCUAAAUGGUAAUCUAGGCACUAACUGAAAAACAUCUGCCUUGCUUGAGUUAAAUGUAAACUCUGAAUUUAUGAGGAAAGUGAAGCAGCUCUUCUGAGCCACUUUCUAGGUAUAGCCUUAGUACCAACAGUUGGGGAGUGGUUACUUGUAAUAUAUCAGCAUACAGAUUAUGUAGCACAAAUUGGCUUGUUCUCAGAUCAAAUAUAAUCUGAAUGCCAAAAACUUCAUUUGGGAUUCUCUUUUUCCAUACUCAGCUGUUACCAACUUCAUUAUUUUCUGUGGAUAUGUCAGGGGGCUGAAAGAGGCUUGAGUAAGUUAGUUCAAGUUACUUAUACAAGUAAGUGAUGUCAGGGAAUGUUAUCCCAACACAGUGUCCUUUAUACAGUUAACAUGUGGUCUUUAUUCUUGUGUAGGAAGAAGAAUGUAACUGCUUAGUGUUGUCAUAGUCUUCGAGGCACUUCUUGUGAUGCAGGUAGAGCCUUAAUUAGAGGAAAGGAGAACAAACCUAAACUGAUUUUUUUUUUUUAAUAGUUUUAUUUCCUAAUGGCAAGUGUAAUACCAUACCGUGGAAACUCUUUGAACACGAUGGUAAGCAAAGAGGGUGCAGUUUUUUCUGAAAUUUCCCAAUAAAUAAAACAUGUAGGAAUAUGGAUUUGUCUGUCAGGAACAUCCCAGUCAUUUAAAGCUUAAAGUGUGCGACCAUAAUAAAAUGGAAUGCCUAUAGCUUAGUAACCUAAAUAAUUAACUGAUCUUUCCCAGGCAAUCUUUGCAAUUCCAGUAAGUUAAGUAUGAUUUUAAGGAAUGUUUAGGUGCCUAGCUUCAUCCAACAAGGCAGGUGCCUUUGAAUACACAAAUUGGAUGUUUUCAUAUUCCAGGAAACAACUGAUUCUAAGAUCUGAAAUUUUUAGGAAAACAACUACUUCAAUCUAAAAGAUACAGUCUUGGGAAAGAUGGAAGCAACAGGUGGUGCAGUGUCUCUGAAAAUCAAAAGCAUUAGAUGAUGGAAUUACAUGCAACAUGUAUAUGGGGGAAAAUAUAUCCAUAAGCAAAAAAGUAAAUCUUGUGGAGUGUUUGAUAUUUAAGUAAUUACUUGCUUCAUUGUAAUGUUAAAAAGAUUUAUUAAUAGUUCUGUGGCAGGCAGUACUCACAAGUCUUUGGCAUCCAAACCAGAUUGUGUAUUGGAUGGAUCCCACAACUGGAUGUGUGCACUGACCUCUCUAUUUCUAGCUUUUUAAAAAGAAACUUGGUAGCAGCAUUUUAUAAAUGUAUGAAGCAACCUGAGUCAGAGAAGAAACCCUGUUCAUGGCACAGCUGCUGCACAGUUUACAAUUGGUACCUUUAAUCUGCAGCCUCUCUUAAGGGAAGCUGCUCUAACGUGGGCAAAUCUAGCACAUCAAAUUACUUCAAUUUUUUUCUAAAUUUGAGGAGUUCCCAUUGCCCUUUUGGCCUCUGCUUGCUGUGUAAGCAGCCUCUAUGUGAAGAGCUUUUCUUGAAAUCAGCUUAGCAACUGUGCUGUAGCUUGAUUAUUUUUCCCUGUUUUCUAUAACUGGUAGCAUAGCAUUGAGCUCUUUCCCCAUUGUGUGUGUUGCUAUGGGGAGGAGGAGUUGAGGCAAGACGUGUGUGAGGAGGGUGGAAGAGUUGUGGGAUCUUCUAUAUGACAGCUCCCACCCCCUCUUUGAAAUCAUCUCCUUCCAGUUGUGGGAUUUCUCUAUAGAUGAUGGUUUUUUCCUGUUUUUUUGUAAGCCUAGUUUUCUUUGAUCUUGUUAGUUCCAUACAAGUCUCCCCGAGACAUUCUGCAGUCAUUAUCACCUUUUUGGGUGGAGUUUAUUUUAUUUUUUGGUUUGUUUGGUUUUUUAAAUAACUUUUUAACAUUGAUGCAUAUAUGCUUGGGAUAGAGCUCAUGUAAUUUUCCAAUCGUAUUGAUUGUAUGUGAUUGUGCCCUGCAGAGGUAUAUUUAACAAAAAAAUAAAAAGGAUAGUCU